rnacentral:tRNA from 1 species
GCCUGGGUGGCUUAGUUAGUUAAGCAUCUGACUUGGGCUCAGGUCAUGAUCUCACAGUUUGUGGGUUCAAGCCCCACAUUGGACU